rnacentral:rRNA from 1 species
GUGGGGAAUAUUGGACAAUGGGCGAAAGCCUGAUCCAGCCAUGCCGCGUGUGUGAAGAAGGUCUUCGGAUUGUAAAGCACUUUAAGCGAGGAGGAGGCUACCGAGAUUAAUACUCUUGGAUAGUGGACGUUACUCGCAGAAUAAGCACCGGCUAACUCUGUGCCAGCAGCCGCGGUAAUACAGAGGGUGCAAGCGUUAAUCGGAAUUACUGGGCGUAAAGCGCGCGUAGGUGGUUUUGUAAGUUGGAGGUGAAAUCCCCGGGCUCAACCUGGGAACUGCCUCCAAAACUGCAUGACUAGAGUACGGUAGAGGGUAGUGGAAUUUCCUGUGUAGCGGUGAAAUGCGUAGAUAUAGGAAGGAACACCAGUGGCGAAGGCGACUACCUGGACUGAUACUGACACUGAGGUGCGAAAGCGUGGGGAGCAAACAGGAUUAGAAACCCGAGUAGUCC